GCUAUAGCUCAGUCGGUUAGAGCGCCUGGUUGUGGUCCAGGAGGUCGUCGGUUCGAAUCCGACUAG
rnacentral:tRNA from 1 species